CGGGGGGGGCAAGCGUUGUUCGGAAUUACUGGGCGUAAAGGGCUCGUAGGCGGCCAACUAAGUCAUACGUGAAAUCCCUCGGCUUAACCGGGGAACUGCGUCUGAUACUGGAUGGCUUGAGUUCGGGAGAGGGAUGCGGAAUUCCAGGUGUAGCGGUGAAAUGCGUAGAUAUCUGGAGGAACACCGGUGGCGAAGGCGGCAUCCUGGACCGAUACUGACGCUGAGGAGCGAAAGCCAGGGGAGCAAACGGGAUUAGAUACCCCGGUAGUCCUGGCCCUAAACGAUGAAUGCUUGGUGUGGCGGGUAUCGAUCCCUGCCGUGCCGAAGCUAACGCAUUAAGCAUUCCGCCUGGGGAGUACGGUCGCAAGGCUG
rnacentral:rRNA from 1 species